rnacentral:rRNA from 1 species
GAUGAACGCUGGCGGCGUGCCUAAUACAUGCAAGUCGAGCGAAUGGAUUGAGAGCUUGCUCUUAUGAAGUUAGCGGCAGACGGGUGAGUAACACGUGGGUAACCUGCCCAUAAGACUGGGAUAACUCCGGGAAACCGGGGCUAAUACCGGAUAACAUUUUGAACCGCAUGGUUCGAAAUUGAAAGGCGGCUUCGGCUGUCACUUAUGGAUGGACCCGCGUCGCAUUAGCUAGUUGGUGAGGUAACGGGUCACCAAGGCAACGAUGCGUAGCCGGCCUGAGAGGGUGAUCGGCCACACUGGGACUGAGACACGGCCCAGACUCCUACGGGAGGCAGCAGUAGGGAAUCUUCCGCAAUGGACGAAAGUCUGACGGAGCAACGCCUCGUGAGUGAUGAAGGCUUUCGGGUCGUAAAACUCUGUUGUUAGGGAAGAACAAGUGCUAGUUGAAUAAGCUGGCACCUUGACGGUACCUAACCAGAAAGCCACGGCUAACUACGUGCCAGCAGCCGCGGUAA